CUCGCGGCUCCGGACCCGGUCCCUCAGCGUUGGACCGGGCUACCCCUCGGCGCGGGUCCCGGGGGUCCCCUGGGCGGGGGCCCUGGGCUUGCGGGAGCAGCGAGCGGGGGCGCUCGGGAGGCCGCCCUGGUCUGGUCAGCCGGCCCCACGGAGGACACCGGCCGGCUAGUGAGCGGCCCGGCGGCGCGGCUCCCCGGCUUGGUGACACGGCGUGGCCGUGUGUGACGCCGCGCUCGCGGUCCCGCCUUCCCAGCGCCGGUUCCGCCCGCAGCACCGGCCCCGUGAGAGGGGCCGCGGCCGUCCGGAGGGCCUCGGACACGUCACCGCCGCCGCGCGUCGUCCUCACUGCGCACAAAGCGGGGCGCCGCCGAGAGGGGCGCGGCGCCCGUGCCGCGCGGAAGACGGGGCGGCGGCAGCGCCUGCGGGCCCCUCGGGAAGAAGCGGAGACGCGGGGAGCGUGCCCGCGGCGCCUCGUCGGCGUCGUCGGAGCACACGGGCGGAAGGAGGACGUGCGCGGAGGCGCCGGGCCGCCGGUGGUCCGGGAGGAGCGCGUUUCCGCGGGAACUCGACGGCGUCCCCGCGGGCUCGGGCGGACGAGGGGCGCGGCGGAGUCCAGCCGUCCGAGGCGCCCGCCGGAGAGCGCGGGAGCCGGGGUUCGGGCUCGGAGAAGUGAGCGCGGCGGAGGGACGGGGCCCAGGAGCGCCUGUCGCACGGCGUGGCGGGGCCGCUGCACACUCGGGCGGGCCCGGGGCGGGCGGCCCGCGGAGAGCCUCGCCUUCCCCGGGCGGGAAGGCCCCGACUGCAGGCGGGGACCCGAGGCCGUCCGCGCUGGGGGGCGGGGGGGAGGAGCAGCAGGGACGGCCGUGCGGGUCCUGGUUGGGGACCGGGGGACGGCGGUGACCCUCUUCUGGAUGAGAAGCAGGGCGGGAAUAGGCUGCGGGGAGGUCAGGUUUGGCUCCAGGUGGACCAUGGAAUGGAGCUCUCCGGUUGAAAGUUGGAAGUAGACCUCUCUUGGCUAAGUCCGUGCUGUGAUACCCCAACUUACGUUUCCGAAGGUAACGCACACGUUAAAUCAAACCAAAGCAAGUAGUUGUGGGGAAUUUCCUAAGGUUGACGCACUAAGAAUGUCCCAUUUUUUAAUUACUUUCUUGGAGCAACGAGGACUCCACGGCUUUGGUAAAUGAGGCAUCCUCUGUAAAAUAAAACUGUCCCGUGGA
rnacentral:lncRNA from 1 species